UACGAAGGGGGCUAGCGUUGCUCGGAAUCAUUGGGCGUAAAGCGCGUGUAGGCGGCUCGGUAAGUCUGCUGUGAAAGUCCAGGGCUCAACCCUGGGAUGCCGGUGGAUACUGUCGAGCUCGAGUCCGGAAGAGGCGAGUGGAAUUCCUGGUGUAGCGGUGAAAUGCGCAGAUAUCAGGAGGAACACCAAUGGCGAAGGCAGCACUCUGGGACGUGACUGACGCUGAGACGCGAAAGCGUGGGGAGCAAACAGG
rnacentral:rRNA from 1 species